rnacentral:rRNA from 1 species
GACAGAGGAUGCAAACGUUGCUCGGAUUUACUGGGCGUAAAGCGCGCGCAGGCGGUCCCGUAAGUCGGACGUGAAAGCCCAGGGCUCAACCUUGGAAGUGCGUCCGAUACUGCGAGACUGGAGUACUGGAGAGGAGAGCGGAAUUCCCGGUGUAGAGGUGAAAUUCGUAGAUAUCGGGAGGAACACCAGUGGCGAAGGCGGCUCUCUGGACAGAUA